UAGACAUUCGGAUUCUUACUGUAUAUGUUGGCUACAGUAGGUUUAGAUUUACUGUUAAGAGUAGGAUGCAUCUGGAUAAAACCUAUCGAUCUUGGUAGAAAAGGAGAAGUCCUAUGCGAUUUGCAGACUGAGUUCAGAAAGUCUUUAGCCAAAGCAAGUGUGAAUACUGAAAAAGAGUUUGCACAAGAUUCAUAAAUGAACUUGAGUCGAGCC
rnacentral:lncRNA from 1 species